UCCCAACUAUCCCUAUUAAUCAUUACGGCGACUCUAGAAACCAACAAAAUAGAACCGCACGUCCUAUUUUAUUAUGCCAUGCUAAUGUAUUCGGGCAAAGGCCUGCUUUGAACACUCUAAUUUUCUCAAGGUAAAAGUCCUGGUUCCCCGACACACCCAGUGAAGAGCAUGCCGGCUCACCAAGAGGUAGAAUCCGGCCGAGCAGUACAUACCAAGAAGGCAGACCACCCAACCAGAUUCGAAAUUCAACU
rnacentral:rRNA from 1 species